rnacentral:rRNA from 1 species
GACGAACGCUGGCGGCGUGCCUAAUACAUGCAAGUCGAGCGGGACUCUUCGGAGUCCAGCGGCGGACGGGUGAGUAACACGUGGGCAACCUGCCUGUAAGACUGGGAUAACACCGGGAAACCGGUGCUAAUACCGGAUAAUCCUUUCCCUCACAUGAGGGGAAGCUGAAAGACGGUUUCGGCUGUCACUUACAGAUGGGCCCGCGGCGCAUUAGCUAGUUGGUGAGGUAACGGCUCACCAAGGCGACGAUGCGUAGCCGACCUGAGAGGGUGGUCGGCCACACUGGGACUGAGACACGGCCCAGACUCCUACGGAGGCAGCAGUAGGGAAUCUUCCGCAAUGGACGAAAGUCUGACGGAGCAACGCCGCGUGAGCGAUGAAGGCCUUCGGGUCGUAAAGCUCUGUUGUCAGGGAAGAACAAGUAUCGGAGUAACUGCCGGUACCUUGACGGUACCUGAUCAGAAAGCCACGGCUAACUACGUGCCAGCCGCCGCCGUAA